UUAAAUUGAAGAGUUUGAUCAUGGCUCAGAUUGAACGCUGGCGGCAGGCCUAACACAUGCAAGUCGAGCGGUAACAUUUCAAAAGCUUGCUUUUGAAGAUG
rnacentral:rRNA from 1 species